CCAAGGAGAGCGUCCUUUGUGCCAGGUACUGUGCCAGCCAUCCUUGAAGGUUAACUCCUGAUCAUCCCAUGUGCUAAUGACACCCAACUCUCUGAAGUCCAGACCCCUCUCCCUUCAGAUUCACACUUGGACAUUCACAAGCUCCUGCCCUAAUUCAGACCUGCAGCACCUUCUACCUGGACAUUGCCAUAGCCUCCCUACUGGUCUGCCUGCCUCUAAGCGUGUUCGUGUAGCAGUCACACUCUCCUGCUUCAGUGGCUCUCUGUUGCCUAUGAACAAAGAUCAUACUCCUUAAAAUGCUCAAUAAAGUUCCCUGUGUCCUGCU